CACGUAGGCACCAAGCGUUGUCCGGAUUUAUUGGGCGUAAAGAGCUCGUAGGCGGUUCGGUAAGUCGGGUGUGAAAACUCUGGGCUCAACCCAGAGACGCCACCCGAUACUGCUGUGACUAGAGUGCGGUAGGGGAGCGGGGAAUUCCUGGUGUAGCGGUGAAAUGCGCAGAUAUCAGGAGGAACACCAGUGGCGAAGGCGGCCCCCUGGUUGGAUACUGACGCUGAUACGCGAAAAGCGUGGGGAGCAAACAGG
rnacentral:rRNA from 1 species